AUUGAACGCUGGCGGCAUGCCUUACACAUGCAAGUCGAACGCGUGGCGAACGGGUGAGUCAUACAUCGGAACGUGCCCUGUAGUGGGGGAUAACUAGUCGAACGCCUAGCUAAUACCGCAUCCUAUCGGAACUGCCGAGGUCUGAUUAGCUAGUUGGUGGGGUAAAGGCCUCACAAGGCGACGUUCAGUAGCUGGUCUGAGAGGACGAUCAGCCACACGGGGACUGCGACACAGCCCAGACUCCGACGGGAGGCAGCAGUGGGGAAGUUUGGACAAUGGGGGCAACCCUGAUCAAGCAAUGCCGCGUGUGUGAAGAAGGCCUUCGGGUUGUAAAGCACUUUUGUCCGGGAAGCGGUACCGGAAGAAUAAGGACCGGCUAACUACGUGCCAGCAGCCGCGGUAAUAC
rnacentral:rRNA from 1 species